UACGGAGGGUGCGAGCGUUGUUCGGAACCACUGGGCGUAAAGGGCGUGUAGGCGGUCCGCUAAGUCUGAUGUGAAAGCCCGGGGCUCACCCCCGGAAGGGCAUUGGAAACUGACGGACUCGAGUCCCGAAGAGGAGGGUGGAAUUCCUGGUGUAGCGGUGAAAUGCGUAGAUAUCAGGAGGAACACCGGUGGCGAAGGCGGCCCUCUGGACGGUGACUGACGCUGAGACGCGAAAGCGUGGGGAGCAAACAGG
rnacentral:rRNA from 1 species